rnacentral:lncRNA from 1 species
GAGCAAUCAUCGGUCCUAUUCUUCUCUGCAUACUUGUGGUUGCUUCCAAUAUCUAUAGUGCCAUGCUAGUGAGUCCCACGAAUUCAGUUCCCACGCCAAACCAGACCCCAUGGCCUGCUCAGCCUCAGCGGACUUUCCGUGACAUUUCUGAAGAUCUGAAAUCUUCAGUAGGUUGAUGUGGUUUCCUCUGCAGUGAUUUUUCUAGGAAGUUCAAAUUUGACAGCGAGUUCAGCUCAGCUGUGGCCCUCUGCCCUUCCAGCUGUGCCUAGCAAGCAAAACCCAGGAAAGAAGCAGAAGCCUCCUGGCCUUACAUACAGAAUGCCUGGACAAGAGAGAACUUGCUGCGGGCUGCUUUGUAUUUUAAAACACAGCUUGAGAGUUCAGAGUUGGUGGUUUGCUCACUUAACUGUUGUUAAGAUGGCUUGAAAAGUUUCAUUUUAUACACUGGUACCCUGGCUUGAAAUUUUUCCACUUUGGUUAUCUAUGUUACUAUAUUAUAUAUUUAUAAAGUUAUUUUAAGAACUCUAAACUACCUGCUGUUAAAAGAAUAGAUGGUGUAAUUUUUUCCUGGUUUAAGAAAUGUAUUGUUAAACUUUUCUAAGACAGUCACUUUUCAAGGAAGAGGGCUUUCACUUUUGAGUGUGUAGUUGAGUGAGCAGGAAAAAUGAAUCUUCUACCCUUCUCCCACAAUGUAUUAUACGCUCUUUAAGAAAUAAUAAAUCAUAAGUAUAAGGGUGGGGUGGCUUAUUUGAUGUUCAGUUUUAUAUUAUAACCCUGGGAGAUACAAAGACUGAAGCUCUUCCUCCUCUUCCUUUUCUCUUCACGCUUCUUUACACUAUUGCCAAAUUAUAAAACUUGGCUGACCACGUUGAAGUGAAAUACUUAUUAAGCUGCUAUGAAUGGUAACAGUAUGAUAAAAUUCAUGCUGUUAUUAGGUUUUCUCCUUCCAGGUGGUUGAAGUGAAAAAUCUCAGGUGUAGCAAUACUCUGAUUUGUUAAAUGUAUCCGUUUCAUUAUUUGGAACUCUGCCAAUAAGUUAGUUUUCAGCAGAAUUUUGUAUUUAUGUAGUAUUUUCCCAUCUCUUAGCACAGUGCCUUGCACAUGACUCUAAAUGAAUGCUUGUUGAAUUGAAUUGCAACUUUAAAAAUAUCUCAGAUAUCACAAUAACCAGCAUAGUGCUUUACAUUUUACAAAGUCCUUUUGCACAUACUAUUUCACAAGUACAUCACAUCAGCUUUCAUAUAGCUUUAUAUUAUUUUACAUCAGUUUUACACUGAUGGAGAAGCUAAGGUUCAGAAAAGUGACCAACUCAAAGUCGUAAAGUGUAGUAGGAUUUGGCCUCAGAUCUUUGACUCCGUUGUGUGCAGAUUCUGCUGUAUUAGUGUUCCUUCUAAAUAUUGUAUGCAGUUUUCCCAGUGUUACGAGAUUGGUGUUGCUAUCCAUUUGUUGUGAAUGAAGACUUGUCCUAUAGUACAUGACAGGGCUGAGAGUGGACUGUAGUUCUUAGCUGAACCCUUUCUACUGUUUAAAACAAUCAUCAGGCCUAUCCUCUGCUCCCAGGGGAAUGUGGGAGAGAAAAGGGUUCUUGGCCAGGCUGUAGGUGGUGGCUCACAUCUGUAAUCCCAGCACUUUGGAAGGCUGAGGUGGGUGGAUUGCUUGAGCCCAGGGAUUUGAGAUCAGCCUAGGCAACAUGGCAAAACCCCAUCUCUAC